UAAGGAAUAUUGGUCAAUGGACGCAAGUCUGAACCAGCCAUGCCGCGUGAAGGAUGAAGGUCCUCUGGAUUGUAAACUUCUUUUAUCUGGGACGAAAACGGGAUUUUUAUCUCAAUUGACGGUACCAGAGGAAUAAGCACCGGCUAACUCCGUGCCAGCAGCCGCGGUAAUACGGAGGGUGCGAGCGUUAUCCGGAUUUACUGGGUGUAAAGGGUGCUCAGGCGGAUUUGUAAGUCAGAGGUGAAAUCUUACAGCUUAACUGUGAAACUGCCUUUGAUACUGCAAGCCUAGAGUAUGGAAGAGNGUGAUGGAAUAUCUGGUGUAGCAGUGAAAUGCGUAGAUAUCAGAUAGAACACCAAUGGCGAAGGCAGUCACUUGGUCCAUUACUGACGCUAAAGCACGAAAGCGUGGGUAGCAAACA
rnacentral:rRNA from 1 species